CACGUAGGGUGCGAGCGUUGUCCGGAAUUAUUGGGCGUAAAGAGCUCGUAGGCGGUGUGUCACGUCGGCCGUGAAAACCUGCAGCUUAACUGUGGGCGUGCGGUCGAUACGGGCAUCACUGGAGUUCGGCAGGGGAGACUGGAAUUCCUGGUGUAGCGGUGAAAUGCGCAGAUAUCAGGAGGAACACCGGUGGCGAAGGCGGAUCUCUGGGCCUUACCUGACGCUGAGGCGCGAAAGCUAGGGGAGCAAACAGG
rnacentral:rRNA from 1 species